AUGCGCCCGCUUAUCCGAACCGCCUGCCUCCGCGCUCGUGUGCGCGCCAUGGCCACGCUUCCCACCACCGCCGCCUUCUCCUCCACACGCGCCCCUUCCCCAUGCCCCUCUCCUUCGCGCGCCCGUCGCCUGCUCGUCGCAGCCCGCUUCCUCCCCUCAGCACCGCCGCCGCCGGCAGGGGCACGGGCGCUCCGGACGUCCGCGGCGGCGGCGGAGGCCGCCGUCGAGGUGGGCGGCGUCAAGAUCGCGCGAGAGGAUGUCGUCAAGGAGGAUGACCCGACGAACAAUGUGCCAGACACCAUUUAUUCAAAAAUAGGUAUUCAGCUGCACAGGAGGGAUAACCACCCUCUAGGGAUUCUCAAGAAUACUAUCUACGAUUACUUUGACAAAAGUUUUCCUGGCCAGUUUGUCAAGUUUGAUGACCUCUGCCCUCUUGUUUCUACUAAGCAGAACUUUGAUGAUGUCUUGGUCCCUGCCGACCAUGUAAGCCGGAGUUACAAUGACACAUACUAUGUCGAUUCUCAAACAGUCUUGAGGUGUCAUACCAGCGCUCAUCAAGCAGAGCUGCUAAGAGAAGGGCAUACACACUUUCUUGUAAUUGGAGAUGUUUAUCGUAGGGAUUCUAUUGAUUCAACUCAUUACCCUGUCUUCCAUCAGAUGGAAGGCUUUCGUGUCUUCUCUCCAGAUGACUGGUCAGGCUCCGGAAUGGAUGGGACAGCAUAUGCAGCUACAGACCUCAAGAAAACGCUGGAAGGCUUGGCAACACAUUUAUUUGGUGCUGUGGAGAUGCGCUGGGUUGAUACUUACUUCCCAUUCACCAACCCAUCCUUUGAACUCGAAAUAUAUUUCCAGGGUGACUGGUUGGAAGUUUUGGGAUCUGGGGUCACUGAGCAGGAAAUUUUAAAAAGCAAUGGUAGGACAGAUCAUGUUGCAUGGGCCUUCGGACUAGGCUUGGAACGACUAGCAAUGGUCCUCUUUGAUAUUCCAGAUAUUCGACUGUUCUGGUCAAAUGAUCAGCGGUUCACAUCCCAGUUCUCUAAAGGCAAGCUUGGGGCCAAGUUCAAGCCAUUCUCGAAGUUUCCACCCUGUUACAAGGAUAUGAGUUUCUGGAUAAAUGAUGAAUUUACAGAGAACAAUUUAUGUGAGGUUGUCAGAGGAAUUGCUGGAGAUCUUGUAGAGGAGGUAAAAUUAAUAGACAAUUUCACAAACAAGAAAGGCAUGACGAGUCAUUGCUACAGGAUAGCCUAUAGGUCAAUGGAACGGUCGCUUACAGACGAGGAGAUCAACGACAUGCAGUGGAACGUGAGAGAAGAGGUGAAAAGUAAAUUGAGAGUUGAGCUGAGAUAA
rnacentral:rRNA from 1 species